rnacentral:rRNA from 1 species
UACGUAGGGUGCGAGCGUUGUCCGGAAUUACUGGGCGUAAAGAGCUCGUAGGUGGUUUGUCGCGUUGUUCGUGAAAACUCACAGCUCAACUGUGGGCGUGCGGGCGAUACGGGCAGACUAGAGUACUGCAGGGGAGACUGGAAUUCCUGGUGUAGCGGUGGAAUGCGCAGAUAUCAGGAGGAACACCAAUGGCGAAGGCAGCUCGCUGGAACGGUACUGACGCUGAGGCGCGAAAGCGUGGGGAGCGAACAGG